AGGGCAGAAGCUUAAUGGAGAAGCCUUUCCUAGUAUGAAAAGGAACACAAAUUGUCUGCAUCAAGUGGUAAUAAGGAAAGAUUGUUUAUUCUUUUCAGGGAUGGGAAAAUCUUUUCCAGGUGUAAUUUAUGACCUGCACUCAUGUCCAGCAUACAUGACUCAGCCUGUUGCUUCUCCACCUGAUGUAUCGAAAAUACUGCAGUAGGAUUAAAUUUUGUCAUGAGUCUGA